GACGAACGCUGGCGGCGUGCUUAACACAUGCAAGUCGAACGCUGAAGCACCAGCUUGCUGGUGUGGAUGAGUGGCGAACGGGUGAGUAAUACGUGAGUAACCUGCCCUUGACUCUGGGAUAAGCCCGGGAAACUGGGUCUAAUACUGGAUGCUACAUGUCACCGCAUGGUGGUGUGUGGAAAGGGUUUACUGGUCUUGGAUGGGCUCACGGCCUAUCAGCUUGUUGGUGAGGGAAUGGCUCACCAAGGCGACGACGGGUAGCCGGCCUGGGAGGGUGACCGGCCACACUGGGACUGAGACACGGCCCAGACUCCUACGGGAGGCAGCAGUGGGGAAUAUUGGACAAUGGGCGAAAGCCUGAUGCAGCGACGCCGCGGGGGGGAUGACGGCCUUCGGGUUGUAAACCUCUUUCAGCAGGGAAGAAGCCACAAGUGACGGUACCUGCAGAAGAAGCGCCGGCUAACUACGUG
rnacentral:rRNA from 1 species